UACGUAGGGGGCUAGCGUUGUCCGGAUUUAUUGGGCGUAAAGAGCGUGUAGGCGGCCAGGUAGGUCUGCUGUGAAAACUCGAGGCUCAACCUCGAGAUGUCGGCGGAAACCAUCUGGCUAGAGUCCGGAAGAGGAGAAUGGAAUUCCCGGUGUAGCGGUGAAAUGCGUAGAUAUCAGGAGGAACACCGGUGGCGAAGGCGGCCCUCUGGACGGUGACUGACGCUGAGACGCGAAAGCGUGGGGAGCAAACAGG
rnacentral:rRNA from 1 species